rnacentral:sRNA from 2 species
GAGGAUGAGAACCUCCGGGGGCGGGGAGGUUCGACUCGAGCGAAGCGAGAGAACGUUGCGCCAGCAACGGCCCGCAGGGCGAGCCACGAAGUGGCGAGUAAUCCUC